CCAUCUACCUUGAGAAUUAAAUAUACGAUCUUUUGUUAUAGUUGGCAUCCUCUAUAGGCAAGUCUUAGUUUGAACAGUGUGUGAAUUUUACAGGAUCAGCAGAGAAUCCCAUACAAGAGAUUAAUUUCCGAGGAACCAAUAGUUAUUGAGGGAAAAUGGAAUUUAUAUAACCCAACCACAGGAAGUCAAUUUUCUACAAAGAAAAGUCUUUUUGUGCAAAGAACAUCACAUGUUUCUUCUUUCUUGAAUAAGUAAUCUGC
rnacentral:lncRNA from 11 species